GUAAGAAAGAGAAGCCAAAGUCACCCAUUAAUCCACAUGCAAAGUCCUAUUGAAGCUGCUGCAGUGAAAGCUCUCACAUGCUGCCCUGGAAAUAACCCCGGCCAUGAUGUGGUGAGAUGACCCUAGGUAAGGUCAGAAGCUCGCUUCUCAUUUUCAUUUAAGCUUCUGUUUUU
rnacentral:sRNA from 12 species